rnacentral:misc_RNA from 1 species
UCUCUCUCUCUCUCUCUCCCCCCCUAUUAUUUCUCUCUCUCCUUCUCUAUGCACUUUUUUUUUCCUCUCUUUCCCCAUCUUAAUAUCUCUUCAUAGCCCUUCCACACAACAGACAGAACCACCACAGACAGAAAUCCAAGCACAACAAGCUAUUUCAUUGCAACAAAUAAAAGAGAUACAUUAGCUAAAUCAGAGAAAACAAAAGAUGUGAGAUUUCCUGGGACAUCUUCCAUCCGAAAUCUCUUAUUACUCUCAUAUACAAGUAAAGCCUCCUUUGCUUUUGUUUCAUCAAUUAUAAUUUCAAUUUCAAUGCCCCAAAAGUUCCACAAGUUCAAUGUUCCCCAAACAUACCAAAAAAUUCCCCAAAUAUCUCUAUCUCUCCUCUCCUAAUUUCAUCAAUUAUAAUUUCACCAGUCAUCCAUAUCAGUUAAAAAGAAGAAGAAGAAGAAGA